UGGGGAAUAUUGCGCAAUGGGGGAAACCCUGACGCAGCGACGCCGCGUGCGGGAUGAAGGUCUUCGGGUUGUAAACCGCUUUUGAUUGGGAGCAAGCUUUCGGGUGAGUGUACCUUUCGAAUAAGCGCCGGCUAACUACGUGCCAGCAGCCGCGGUAAUACGUAGGGCGCAAGCGUUGUCCGGAUUUAUUGGGCGUAAAGCGAGCGCAGGCGGUUAGAUAAGUCUGAAGUUAAAGGCAGUGGCUCAACCAUUGUAGGCUUUGGAAACUGUUUAACUUGAGUGCAGAAGGGGAGAGUGGAAUUCCAUGUGUAGCGGUGAAAUGCGUAGAUAUAUGGGGGAACACCGGUGGCGAAAGCGGCUCUCUGGUCUGUAACUGACGCUGAGGCUCGAAAGCGUGGGGAGCGAACAGG
rnacentral:rRNA from 1 species